UCUGCCUCCCGAAUGCUGGGAUUAAAGGUGUGCGCCACCAUGCCCGGCCCGUUUUGGUUUUUUUGUUUUGUUUUGUUUUUGUUUUUUUUUCAAUUUUGUUCUAAAACUCUCUUAUGCUGCACGCCUCUCUUUGAGUUACAGGAUCAAAUUACUUAGUUACAGCUGGUAUGAAACGUUUUGAGAAAUCAGUUUCAGUAAACUUGAAAUAUAACUGAGUCUUCUUUCAGUAGGAGACCUUGACUUCAAAUUGAGAGGACUUCCAGGAUACUGUGGGAGUUAUAUUUUUUUUAUGGGAAAACUAUUUCUAUCAUGAAGUAAUGCAUUGUUGUUAGACCUAAUAUUGUGAGUGUCUAAUACUUAUGUUUAUAUAAUUGCACUUCCAGUAAAGUUAUUGUGGCAACCAUUUCACAUUGUCUUUUAAAGAACAUGCCCUUGGCAUAGAAAUACUAUUUAGUUUUAAUGGUAGCCUCAUUGAUGUUCAGUACGUUUUUCACUAUUAAGACACUUGACAAACAAUGAGAUAUUUACUUUUUAUCCCUUGUAGGCAGAAAGCUGUAAAAAUAAACUUCAGCUUUCAGUGUUCAGAAAUUCUCAAAUCUCUUUAAUCCAAAGUAUUGGUGUGACACUAUCGAAAAACAGCCAGGCUAUGGUUU
rnacentral:lncRNA from 1 species